CCCGACUAGAAAUUUAUCCAGUGGUCCUGAUCAGGUAAAUUCAUCAGGACUUGAUCAGUCAUGUAACGCAGCACAAUAGUUAGGUCCUUAUCUGGAUAUCCUCAUCAGGUUUAUAUCGGGUUGAAUUAUUAAAUCCUUACUACCCAGACAGCACCAAGUCGUCUAAAGGAUUACUAAAACUUGAUAUUUUCGGUGAGUGUAAGAGUCCUUAGAACAUAUACUACUAGUAUAUGUUUGUGACUAUUGAUUCCUUUUCGUUACUUUAACUAUAAGGUUCGGGGCUCGAGAUACGAACAAGAGGAUGGUGACGAACGAUUAUCCGUUUCAAAUAAACAUAUUCAAAUCCCAUGAGCAGAUGAAAAUAAUUAUAUUUCGGUUAUAUAAUAUAGGUAAUCGAGGAAAUCAUCGAACAAGUCGUAUUAUUAUUCACAAUAAAAGUGCGGAAAUCAUAUUAUUAAUCGAGUUAUUGUCCAAUACAUAAACGCGCGGAAAUUUUGUCUCAAUUCAUAGAAAUACUCAUCUGAGUUAUCGAAUAGACCGAAGCGCCUGAUCCCUCGUUGGCUCUUUCACCUGCUUCAGGGUCCUUUGACUCGGAAAUUGAUCUCUCGUGUUUGCUGAAAGCGUGCUGUUUAAUCGGUUAUCAACCAAGUCUACUCCUUUCCAGGAUACGGCAUCAUUUAUGAUACUCGUUGCGAGUCUCGUCACAAUCUCGAUAUUCCGAUGGAAUAGAAUCCGACUGGCUGUCCAAAAAUGGCUGAUAUUUCGUUGAUGUAGAAUUGCUGAGAAUGAUGUUGUCUUCUCAGGACCCCGAAACGAAAGAGGACGUGGCAGGCGAUUACGCUCCUUUUAUCACUAUCGAUCGACGAUCGAUAUACAUGCGCAGAUAGGACUAUUCGUCUCGCAUGCGCCUUAAAUCGAUUAGACCGUGCUGUCAUAGGCCGUACUGGCGCGCGUUAUACAAAUAAUUCUCGUGUCGAAUAGACUCACGUCUUACAUGUUCUAAGUAAGAGUCCAAAA